rnacentral:piRNA from 1 species
UAGUUUCGUGACAUUACCGUC